rnacentral:rRNA from 1 species
GACGAACGCUGGCGGCGUGCUUAACACAUGCAAGUCGAACGAAGCUUGAUUACGGAUUCUUCGGAUGAAGUAUGAUAUGACUGAGUGGCGGACGGGUGAGUAACGCGUGAGUAACCUGCCCUUCAGAGGGGGAUAGCGUUUGGAAACGAACGGUAAUACCGCAUAAUGUAUUUUGACCGCAUGAUCGAAAUACCAAAGAUUUAUCGCUGAAGGAUGGACUCGCGUCUGAUUAGGUAGUUGGUGGGGUAACGGCCUACCAAGCCGACGAUCAGUAGCCGGACUGAGAGGUUGAGCGGCCACAUUGGGACUGAGACACGGCCCAGACUCCUACGGGAGGCAGCAGUGGGGAAUAUUGCACAAUGGGCGCAAGCCUGAUGCAGCAACGCCGCGUGAAGGAAGACGGUUUUCGGAUUGUAAACUUCUGUUCUUAGGGAAGAAUAAUGACGGUAGCUAAGGAGCAAGCCACGGCUAACUACGUG